GGGAAAUACCAGAAUUUGGCAGAGUUGAGAUGUUUGAGUAGAUAGGGACCACCAAGUGAUCUGGGAAAUGAAAUCUCUUGAGAUCCUGCUCUUGCUGUUCUGCUUGUUUUGUACGUAACACUUAUAAUGUAAUUCCCAGAGCACUGUGAUUUCUGUGACUUUCUUCCCACUUCUGGAGAAGGGCUAGAGAAGACCCCACAAGACAAAAACACAGAAGUGCUACAUUCAACUUUUAACAGGGAUUUUCUUUUCCUUUUUAUUUCUAUUCACAGAAGCAAAGCGAAACAAAACAAAUGUUUAAACAAGGCUGCCCUCUUCAUUGUUCCCUGCUCUCCCUCAGGCAAAUGCUGCAUGGGUGGGAAAAACGAAGCUUUGCAUUAUGACAGUGGUUAUUUUCUCACCUCCAGCCUACCUCCACCCAUAUUCAGGGUUUUAGCAGUCUGAGGCGAUCAAUCAGGUGGAAUGAUCCUGUCAACUGCUUUACCCUGGAAAUCAGGUGGCAAGGAGAGACAGGUAUCAUGGAGGAAACUUCAGAGAUCAUGCAGAUUUCAGUAGUAGAUUUCUUAUUCUGUUUGGCAGAAAUGUCUGCUUUGCAGAGUUGAUUCAAAGUGCUAUUGAAUUCUCCCUCAACCCCUGCCAGAACAUGAGAGCCACAUUGGCCGUGCUGGAGAAAGGCAUAAAAUGCCUUCUAUUCUAAGUACAUAUGGACCCCUGGCAACUGCAGAGGUAAUCAUUAACUCUGACUUCCCUUUGUUCUCCUGCCAGCUUGCUAAGUGCGUAACUGUGCUUGUGGCAGUCAGGGGGUUCUGACCCACUCAUACUAAAAGAUGUAGUGGAGAACGAAAGAGGUCACGGACUAAGCCUCUCCAUGAAAUGGAGAGCAACACUUGUGCUGCAGCAACCUUGUAAUGUGAAAGAUCAUCCUGAGACUUUGGGAGGAGUGCUGGACAAUGUGGGAAGAUCUCCAUCUUAACUCUGUAUGAGAGCAAGAGGGCAAAAAGAAUGAAAUGAAGCAGAAAAAGAAUCUCCUCUAACUCAGAAGUCACCUGAAUUGCAAGAGCUGCACUUCUGCUUUCACUCUGCCGUGGAUUUGCAUUGUCUGAUGCCAGAGACAGGAGUCCUGACACUCACCAGCCUGCCUUGGAGAAGAGUAGACAGUUUGUACCUCAGAAACCACUGGCCCUGAAAGAAUAGGUACAUUAAAUAUUAGCAGUUUCCAGUCCUCACCCUGGCCUAGCUGUCAGCGAGUUCAUUUGCUUGUCUGGAGGGACCACAGGAAUGUAGGAGUCAAGGGGAAAUAUCACAAGAGUGAUGGACUGUGAGGCUCCCAGGUUCCCUCUGCCAUUGCAGAGCUCUUCGACCUAUUGUAAUCGUCACCAGACAAAAUGAGUCUUUUUCCUUCCAGACAGAUUGGAGGCAAAGGACAGUGCUUUAGAGUCAAUGUUACAUUUAAGAAACAACAUGCAAUUCAAACCUUGUAAUUAUCAUGAUUUUUCAGACUGGCAGUGAAGAUGGGAGCAAGAAGGCAGCAGUGAACCUGGGAGAAAGGAGAGACUUUUUUUCAUUUUUUUCAGCUUCUAUUUCUUCCCCACUGACAAAAGAAAGAAAAUAAGGACUUUCAUGGAAAACUAAAUUAAGGUGAAGGCUGAUAUCUUAAUAGGCUCUGCCUAGAUCUGUGCAUCUCAAUUCUUGAUGGGCCUCCAGUUUGUUCCUGUACUGAUUGCUGUCCUCGGUGCUGCAGUUUUUUGAGGUGAUCCCUUCCUUGUCGUGUGAAGCUUUCCCAGCCUGAUUUUAAGUCUGGUCAGGUUCCUCCUGCUUCCUCCCAUUCUGACACUAAACUUCAGCAUCACUGGAAACAUUUGCCUUUCCACAAAAGCAAAGGUGUAUGGCUCAAGUGAAACAUGUUUAGUGCUGAAAAGUCAACAGAUUUGAGAAUCAAAAUGGAAAGAUCAAGAGAUCCAUGACAGGUCCUCCUGUCAGAGCAACCAGAGGAAAGCCACAUACUCACAUACUUGCUUGGUUCGUAGACAAGGAAG
ensembl:lncRNA